rnacentral:lncRNA from 1 species
GUUCUUUGAAUUUUUCUUUUGUUGAAGCUUGUAUGUUGAAGCUUUGUGAGUGGAGCAUGUAGGUUGAGGUAGUGUUCCCUUAAUUUCCCGGGUGGGGAAAACUUCUCGAUUGGAGACUUGAAAAAUCCAAGUCACUGAGUCAGGUCGGCUAUAUGAAUCUUAGAACGCCAUUGUGCUCGAUCCUGUGUCAUGUCCUCCGUUAGAUCCAAGUACUCUAAGUCUUUUCUUAGAGUCUCUUCCAAAGUUUUCCUAGGUCUUCCUCUACCCCUUCGGCCCUGAA